rnacentral:rRNA from 1 species
AGGACGAACGCUGGCGGCGUGCUUAACACAUGCAAGUCGAGCGGUAAGGCCCUUUCGGGGGUACACGAGCGGCGAACGGGUGAGUAACACGUGGGUGACCUGCCCUUAGCUCUGGGAUAAGCCUGGGAAACUGGGUCUAAUACCGGAUAUGACCUCGCGAUGCAUGUCGUGGGGUGGAAAGCCUUGUGCGGCUAGGGAUGGGCCCGCGGCCUAUCAGCUUGUUGGUGGGGUGAUGGCCUACCAAGGCGACGACGGGUAGCCGGCCUGAGAGGGCGACCGGCCACACUGGGACUGAGACACGGCCCAGACUCCUACGGGAGGCAGCAGUGGGGAAUCUUGCGCAAUGGGCGAAAGCCUGACGCAGCGACGCCGCGUGAGGGAUGACGGCCUUCGGGUUGUAACCUCUUUCAGCCCUGACGAAGCGAAAGUGACGGUAGGGCGAGAAGAAGCACCGGCCAACUACGUGCCAGCAGCCGCGGUAA